rnacentral:rRNA from 1 species
AGGACGAACGCUGGCGGCGUGCCUAACACAUGCAAGUCGAACGGGUGAGAGGAGCUUGCUCCUCGAUCUAGUGGCGAACGGGUGAGUAACGCGUGAGAAACCACCUUUCAGUGGGGGGACAACAGUUGGAAACGACUGCUAAUACCGCAUAAUGUGCCGGGAGGGCAUCCUCCUGGUACCAAAGCUUUAUGUGCUGAAAGAUGGUCUCGCGUCUGAUUAGCUAGUUGGCAAGGUAAAGGCUUACCAAGGCGACGAUCAGUAGCCGGCUUGAGAGAGUGAACGGCCACAUUGGAACUGAGACACGGUCCAAACUCCUACGGGAGGCAGCAGUGGGGAAUAUUGCACAAUGGGGGAAACCCUGAUGCAGCGACGCCGCGUGAAGGAUGAAGUAUUUCGGUAUGUAAACUUCUAUCAGCAGGGAAGAUAAUGACGGUACCUGACUAAGAAGCCCCGGCUAACUACGUG